AGGGUCGACAGUGCGGGCUGGCGUGAACCGCAGCUCCUCUGCGCCCCAGCCUUUGCCCCUCUGGCCGCUGAUGUACUUGUGUGCACAACAGCUCCAGCUCCCGCAUGUAAAUCGAGGGAAGCUCCUGGAGCUUUUGUGAAGAUCUGAAUUAACUUCUCAUUAACCCUACAAAUCGUAACUGAGCCCUCAGUGUAUAUAAAAGGACCUUCCGCUGUGCCUGGCACAAAAUCAGGGCAUAAGAAAUGGUAAGUUACAGUUAUCCGUGCAAGGCCUAUGGGUUGCUAGCUCUUUAAUCAUCGCCAUCCUGCAGCAGAGCAGGCCAUUCCCCUGGAUGAGGAGGUUCCCGGCCCGGCCGCAGCGCUGAACUCCAGCCCUGCAAGCCACCUCCCGGUGCUCAUUGCUUCACUCCUGGGGUACGGCCUGCAGGAGACCCUGGAGAACCAGGGGCAGCGGCCAUGUUUGUGCCUCCCACAGCACCUGCGCUGGAGAAAAUGUCCUGACCAGCGUGUUGACAUUUUUAGAUGGAGACAAGCUAACAGGGUCAGGAGCGCCCAGCUGUGAAGCUCUGAGGCUGCAAGUGCCUAGAGGUUUGUUGGAAUCCAAAGUCCAAUGAUUAUCCUUUGAGCUUCACCUCUUUCCUUAUCCACCCACCUUCACUCUCUGAACCUGUCUUCGCCUCCGUGUGGGGAUCAACCCAGCCCUUACUCCCAGUGACUGUGGAAAGGUCACAAAAUAGAGCAUGAAAGUGCUUUGUGAACUGGAAGUGCGUGACGGGUCAUUAUUCUACUGAGUUGGGAGUUUGACUUGUGUACUGUGUGCCAUCCCCCCACUUCUGCCAACCCCACCCCCAUAUCCAGAUCAACAAAGACCUAGAACUACUCCUAGGACCAAACACCCAGACCCAAGUAAUAGCGUGGAAGGUGGGUCUGGAACAGGUGCCCAGAGCUGCUCAGCAUGCGUGGCAGGGCCGGCUGUCAGGGAAGGCAUUUUGAAGGAAGCAAGAUUCAGGUCAGGUUUUGAAGCCAGGGGGUAACAGUGUCUUCUCCCUCCAGAAGACCUUCAGCAGAGCCCUCCGGCCAGCUGCAGGGGCUGCAGGGCCUCCAAGGGUCCCAGCCCCAGAUACAUGGCUGAGAAACCCAACAAGGGAACAGAGGGCUGGGUCCAGAAAGGCUUAGGCCAAGAGGGUGUGGUCAGAGCGCCUGGCUAUUCAGGGCUUCACCAAAGCCCAGGCCCGAGGUCAGGAAGAGACCCCCACAAAGCCCUUGAGGAUGGAGGUGGCAGUGGGGAACAGACAGCUAAAUCAGGAGUGGGCGGGGAUAGGGACCAGAGGAGCCGGGAAAAGGAAGACCCCUGACAGGGUCAGGCCCAUCUGCAGGUCACUUCCCAGUUCUGUGGGAUGUGGGAGGUGAGGCAGGGGCAGUAGCUAGGUAGGUCCCACCUCAACCAUAUUUCCUGCUUUCAUAGCCUGAAGCCUCCUACCUUCCCAGUGAGGUGGAUGCCUAGUUCUCCCUAUUUUAGAGAUGAAGACUCCGGCACCCAGAGGUUAGGAACUUGUCUGAAGUCACACAAUUGGCCACGUAAGUGCUCAGGAAAUGUCAGCUGUUACUCUCCUUUACCAGCUCUGAGAACCCAAACAGCCACCACACUUAGAUGCAGGGCCCGAGAGAAGGGAGGGGCGUGAUCUGCAGAUGGACAGUCUGGGCACUGCCUCCUGAUCAGGAAUCACAAGCAGAAGGACACUUGGUGUGUCACUGAAGAGCUUCACUUGCAUUCAUUCAUCAUGUCCUCACACCCUCGCAGGGAAGUUACUCACUGUCCCCAUUUGGCAGUGAGAAAACUAAGGCACAGAGAGAGUAAUUUGCCCGAGGUCACUCAGCCAGUAGGUAGCAGAGCAGAAAUCUAAACCUGAGUCUGCCUCCAGGGCCUGUACCCCUCAUUCUCAUGCCUCAGGCGCCCCCUUGGGGGCCCAGGUUGGAGAAUGCACCCUGGCUUUCUGCUUAUGUCAGCUUCAGCUGGAGGCUAGCCUCUGGGGUG